AUAAAGACCUGCUGAGUCUCUCGACAGGAGAUACUUGCACCUCACCAAGUGUCAGUGUCUCCUCAUUCUACCUCAUCCCCUUCCCCUCAGCCCUUAAGUUUCAGUUCUUUCGUUUUCGCCUAGGCCGUCUCAUCCUUUCAGGAACCCCUGACACGACGUUUUGCCGGAGGCUGUCCCCGGCAAGUGGCACCAGAACAGGGACUUGAACCCUGGACCCUCAGAUUAAAAGUCUGAUGCUCUACUGACUGAGCUAUCCGGGCCCACACAAGUCCGUACGGUGGAAGCAUUAACAGAAUGUCCAGGUUGGCGAAAAAGUACAGGUGAAUUGGCGGCAAGGAGGUGAAACAAGUCCGGGGAUGGCCAUGGGUGAUGGCAAGUCUGGUUUGACAGCCCUUUAGGGCCUCCCUGGUGGUGCAAGGGGUUAAGCAGUUUAUGAAGCUAUCCACAGCCACUGCUGCAUGAGUUCGAUCCCUACCCAAGAACUACCCACAUGGCACAGCAGACUUCUCCUGACUCGCCCGCUGCUCCCCUCAGCAGUGUACUUCAGUCAAUUCACCUGUUCUGUUCCCCACUCUGUCUCUGUCCUCUCACCCCCCAUACCCCUGACCUGUACCCCAGUUCUUGUAUGCAUAAAAUAAAUAUUUUUAAAAAAGAAAGUGGCAGCCCUUUAAUGAAAUGUUUUAUUAUAAAACUUUUCAAACAUACUACAAACUCAAGAAAAUUGAAUAAAGGACCUCCAUGUGCCCAUCCCCCAAAUUCAAUGGCUCUCAAUAGCAGAAUGGCAUUCCUUUUUAAAAUGUAAACUACAGGGCCUCCCCG